AAAAUGGCUGCAAGUGAACAAGCAAAGACAAAGAAGAUCUGUCAUUGGAGGAUAAAAUAAAAGCGCGUGUCAGAAUUGCAGCUGCACUGUUGGAGCCUCCAUGGGAUAUUUUUAGGCAAUGCAAGAAUCUGACAGCGGUUCUCAUCCUCUAACCAUAAGCAGGAUCCACGUUGAACAGUAACCAUCAUCCUUAUGACUGCAGUGGCUCUUGUGCAGGUAAACAAGAGCAUGAGCCUCCAUGCCAGGCCAGCAUAGAACUUUGGGUAGGAGGACUUCAAAGGGAGUGUUUCCUUGUCCCUCACCAAUCACCUGUCGGGGAUUUUGAUAUGCCCCACCCCAGCCUGCUCAACAAGUUUUACAGCAGAAAACUCAGUAGGAAGGACAGCACUUUUGUGUUUUCCUCUCAUUCCCUGUUUUCCUUGGGCUCUUGAUGUCAAUUUCAGUUUUUGCCACUCACCAGGGUACUUUUCAGGAACAUGACCUUCAUGCCAGCCAGUGGCGACAAGAGCUCACAGAGCCUUCCGCAGGAUGAGAUCAUAGGAAGGACCCACUGGAAAGGCAGGUCUGACCUGGUGCUGGAGAAAGUUGCAGUGAAGACCAUGAGGCUUCCCCUGGAAAGUGAGUUCCAUGAGGGUAGAGUGUGAGUCACUCUUGUUCUUGCUGUUUCUCCUGUGCCCAGAACAGUGCCUGCUGCUCAGUCAAUGCCUGAUGAUGGAGUGAACAGAUUUCUGCUUUCGGUGGCCACCUCUGGGUCACAGAAGGCCCAGAAGUUACAAGCAACCUCUGGUAUUUGAAGAAUGGAGAAAAAGGACAGAGAAGUAUGAAAAGGAGCCUCGUUUGGAUGCAUCCACUGAGCAUUGAAGGCGAGGACCCUUAGGUGGCCCCGUCCUUUGCAAACAGGUUCAGUGUUUCUCCCACACUCACUCCAGGGCCCAGAAUCCAUGCACACCUGCAGGGUGGGGCAGGCCGACUCAGACUGACACGUCCAGCCUCUGCCCAACUCCUCUGUUGGAGGCUUUGUGGGGAAUUUGGCAGAGCCUGGCCAUUCCUUCACUAAUUCGGCCGUUGUAGAAAAACCACCCAGUUAACAGGUCCGAGCCGUUUCCUCUAAUCCUGGGGACUAGAGGUGACUGCCACUUUGAGGCCAGUUAAGAGUUCUUGCCCCCUCCUGGAAGCCCUGCACUGCUGGGAAGCAG
rnacentral:lncRNA from 1 species